GACCGCGUAGCUCAGUUGGCAAAGCAUUGCCAUUGGGCUAGUAUUCCAAAGGUCGUAGGUUCGAAUCCCACCGUGGCCA